rnacentral:rRNA from 1 species
AGUGAACGCUGGCGGCGUGCCUAAUACAUGCAAGUCGAACGGAGUGGCGCACGGGUGAGGAAUAUAUAGCUAAUCUGCCCCUUGCUGGCGGACAACAGUUAGAAAUGACUGCUAAUACUCCAUAGCAAGGGAUGAGACUAUAUCGUAUCAGCUAGUCGGUGGGGUAACGGCCUACCGAGGCUAUGACGCGUAACUGGUCUGAGAGGAUGAUCAGUCACAUUGGAACUGAGACACAGUCCAAGCUCCUACGGGAGGCAGCAGUAGGGAAUAUUGCGCAAUGGGGGAAACCCUGACGCAGCAACGACGCGUGGAGGAUGACACUUUGAGGAGCGUAAACUCCUUUUGUUAGGGAAGCGGUACCAACAGAAGAAGUGACGGCUAAAUACGUGCCAGCAGCCGCGGUAAUUC